rnacentral:rRNA from 1 species
UACGUAGGGUGCAAGCGUUAAUCGGAAUUACUGGGCGUAAAGCGUGCGCAGGCGGUUAUGCAAGACAGAUGUGAAAUCCCCGGGCUCAACCUGGGAACUGCAUUGUGACUGCAUAGCUAGAGUACGGUAGAGGGGGAUGGAAUUCGCGUGUAGCAGUGAAAUGCGUAGAUAUGCGGAGGAACACCGAUGGCGAAGGCAAUCCCCUGGACCUGGUACUGACGCUCAUGCACGAAAGGCGUGGGGAGCAAACAGG